rnacentral:rRNA from 1 species
CAGUCGCCACGGGAAUACGAAGGGUGCAAGCGUUAAUCGGAAUUACUGGGCGUAAAGCGUGCGUAGGCGGUUUGUUAAGUCUGUUGUGAAAUCCCCGGGCUCAACCUGGGAAUGGCAAUGGAUACUGGCAAGCUAGAGUGUGUCAGAGGAUGGUGGAAUUCCCGGUGUAGCAGUGAAAUGCGUAGAGAUCGGAAGGAACAUCUGUGGCGAAGGCGACUAUCUGGGCCAACACUGACAUUGAGACACGAAAGCGUGGGGAGCAAACAGGAUUAGAUACCCCCGUAGUCCCUGUCUCUUAUAC